rnacentral:rRNA from 1 species
AGCUUUAUAUUUAUAUUUUAWAAAUAAGUAAUUUUAUUAAAUUUUAAAAUUAAAAUAUAAUUAACUGGGGUAGUUAUUUUAGUUAAAUUAAUAUGAAUUUAAACAAAUUAAUGGUAAUUGUKCCUUUAUAUAAGGGAAUAUAUAAAUAGUUAC